rnacentral:rRNA from 1 species
GACGAACGCUGGCGGCGUGCUUAACACAUGCAAGUCGAACGGAAAGGCCCUGCUUUUGUGGGGUGCUCGAGUGGCGAACGGGUGAGUAACACGUGAGUAACCUGCCCUUGACUUUGGGAUAACUUCAGGAAACUGGGGCUAAUACCGGAUAGGAGCUCCUGCUGCAUGGUGGGGGUUGGAAAGUUUCGGCGGUCGGGGAUGGACUCGCGGCUUAUCAGCUUGUUGGUGGGGUAGUGGCUUACCAAGGCUUUGACGGGUAGCCGGCCUGAGAGGGUGACCGGCCACAUUGGGACUAAGGUACGGCCCAGACUCCUACGGGAGGCAACAGUGGGGAAUAUUGCACAAUGGGCGGAAGCCUGAUGCAGAAACGCCGCGUGCGGGAUGACGGCCUUCGGGUUGUAAACCGCUUUCGCCUGUGACGAAGCGUGAGUGACGGUAAUGGGUAAAGAAGCACCGGCUAACUACGUG